AUACGGAGGAUCCGGGCGUUAUCCGGAUUUAUUGGGUUUAAAGGGUGCGCAGGCGGCCAUUUAAGUCAGCGGUUAAAUCGUGGGGCUCAACCCCAUUCUGCCGUUGAUACUGGGUGGCUUGAUUGCGGUCGAGGUUGGCGGAAUUCGUUGUGUAGCGGUGAAAUGCAUAGAUAUGACGAAGAACACCGAUUGCGUAGGCAGCUGACCAGACCGCAAAUGACGCUCAUGCACGAAAGUGCGGGGAUCGAACAGGAUUAGAUACCCUGGUAGUCCGCACAGUAAACGAUGAAUACUUGUUUUCGGCGAUAUAAUGUCGGAGGCAAAGCGAAAGCGAUAAGUAUUCCACCUGGGGAGUACGCCGGCAACGGUGAAACUCAAAUGAAUUGACGGGG
rnacentral:rRNA from 1 species